ACUAUUUUGUAUGUAGUGAUCAUAUCUCCUCUUUUCUUCUACUAGUUUUGACAUAUUUAAUGCCUCUAACCUUUCCUCGUAGCUCUUGCCCUCAGUUCUGGGAGCCACUGCGUAGCAUGUCUUUGCAAUGUCCGUGUUGGGCUAGUAAUGUUAACAAGUAAUUCAAUGAUGGAUCUCUGUUAAUUUCAUAAUGAAUCUCUUAAUUUAAGUGGAUAAAUUUAACUUCAGUGAUUUUUGGCAUAAUUAUCAAUAUACUGUUCCUAACUUUGCUAGUCUUCCAGUGAUGACACUUGUCAACGGUUAGAAAUGAUUGUACAUCACUGCUAGUGCUUUUAAUGGUUAAAUUCUUGCAGUGCUUUGCUAAGGCAUUGCUGUGUAGAAUUCUUUGGGGAGACAACUGAUGGACUAAAAAUAGUCAGCAGACAUGAGUAUGAACUUUGUAGUACAUUUCUCAUGGUUGUGCCUAUAUGUUUCUACGAUGGAUGCAUCGUGUACUUCCAUAUUCAACACUUGCUAUAAUUUUGUAUGGUUUUAGUGAAUUAUUUGAAACAAAAUGCCACUUAAUUUAAUUUUAUGGUCUGCCAACUACUUAGUUGUACAGUAUAUGGUAAUUUCAAUAUUUUGGUGUUUAUUGGGGAAAGUCUUCCAGUGAUGUAUAUCAUUAAUUCAUGUUCAAUAUUUUUUGUAGGAAAUUGUAUGUCAUGGCAAAUUUUUAGUUAACAUUUAGCCUUUUAGGUUACUACAAACAAUACUUGUCCUGAAAUAUUUGAUUACUGCUGUUUGGGUUAGAUUUACCUACUUCUAUGAGACAUUUCUGAAAGUGGAAAGGUCACUAAUACGUUCUGAUGUAUUUUCUGGAGAAUUAUGAAAGCGUGAGUCAACAAAUGAAUUUUUUAUUAUUUGUAUGUUUGGUGAUACAUAAAUGUAGUUGAAUGUGAUUUGUUUGAAGCAAUCUUCCAUAUACAGUACAUGUGCUAAGUCUUAUGCACUCAUUAUGGACAUGUCAUUACAAUUAAUAAUAAAAUGCAUUCACAUUUUUUACUUACCUUACCCUAACCUGUUGGCCAGUGGCCACAAUGUCCAAAAGAAUUGCCAAAUAAACUUAAACUUUGAACCAAUGCCACUCUUGGAUAUUGUAGCCCUAUCAUAAAUAAAUGUACUGACUACAAAGGGAGCCCCAAAACAACCAGUAUCAGUCUUAGAAGUAUUACAACCAUGACUUCAUAUCGGUUGGAAAAUUCAUCAUCGAUGACAUCCACAUUAUUUAUACUCCUACACCAUUAGAGUAGGGAGAAGUCAAAUUGGAAGAUUGCAAAUUGCUAUACUAUGAAUUUGAUACUUUAAAAUGAAUGAAAUAUUGGCAGAUUAGUCAGUUGGAAUCGUGAAUCAUUUUUGCAUGUGUAGAAUGGAUUAAUUCAAUUUACAUUUCUUAUGGAAAUGUCUAUAUGAAUGUUACUACUGCUUGGCUUAGACUGUUAUAAAUCUCUGGGAAUUCUCAUUACUGUAUCUGCUGAUGUAAACCGUGUCACAAUGUGAUGGAGUGCAAAAUGACAAUGCGAAUUCUGAAAAUUCUAUAAAUGUUCCAAAGAUGUCUUUCCAUUGCUGCCCACAAGAUGAGUAUGGGGUGCAUAAGAACUAAACUAAACAGCCCUCUAGUAUUUUCCAUGUAAUCACUUAGCAAACUGAAUAUUUGGCUAACUGUAGGUAGUAAAAGAUAUCUGGUAGCAGAUCAUUUUGAAUGAAAUAUUUACAAAUCUUUUGGAACAUUUUUAAUAGAAUCAUCUCCGAAUUCUCGUGUCUUUUUGCACUCCAUCAGUGACAGGGUGUGCGAAUAAUUUUGUUGACGCAGUUUACAUUGGCAGAUAACGAAAAUUCCCAAAACAGCAAGCCUAGAAGUGUGCUGAUUUUGUUGAAUGAUCCAGAGAUGUGGCUCCUCUUGCACAAUAGUACUAGUAUGAUAGAUGAAAUUACUGGUGUCUUUCACUUUGAUCUACAAGAUUUUGUUGAAGUUCUUAGUGUACUAUUGCUCUGCUUAUUGACAAUCCAAGUUUAUACUCAAUUUCUCCUUUAAAGGCAGAUUCUUUGGCCAACUCAGCUAUCAUGCCUUUAGAGGCCAACUUGAAAUGAACUUGCCAUUAAUAAUUGUGUCUAGCUUUAGACACUGGCAGGGUAAUGUGAAAAAUUACCAAAGCAAUCAAUUUAUUGAGACCUUGAGACCAAGCAUAGAGGAUAGCACGGAGCCCUUGUGGGACUGAGCACAGCAGACAUGGUGACCUUGUGGGACAGCACAGGAUGGCACAGACCACAAGGCUCUACUACCCCUUACUGAAUUUCAUGCAGAUCUUGUUGGCUGAAAGUGCAUAACAUUCAUCAAUUUAGUGGUAGUUAAAUCGACUUGAUUUGGCUUGAGAAUGGUCCAAUGGUCUCACAAUCGACUUGAGAAUGGUCCAGGACGGACCGAAACGUCGUCGUCACUUUAACUUCUAGUGUGUGGUCUGGUCAACAUACUUCAGCCACGUUAUUGUGACUCAUCGCCUGCAAAGGUGGUUGAACAGUGUUUACCGUUAUAUAAAGAACAUUGAUUGGAUGUAAUAUGAUCGCCAGCAGUGUGCAUCAGAUACUCGGCAACUCCACUGCUCAAUCUUCUAUAAUGGUUAUGGAAGGUCCUUGCAACAAUGAAACUUCAGUAUGAAGAUGUUCCUGGAAACAUUUUGAAUAUGGAAUCAGAAGUGUAACUUCAUCCUCGAGUGGAAGGUUUUUUGUACUUCAAAAUGAGAAUUGUGCUAAAGGAGUGACUGGCUUAGUGUUCAACUCUGCAAAAGGAACUACAGUACUAAAUAGUGGUGGCUGUCCUUGUUACUCUGCCCUUAUAGUCUUCAGUGAUGGCAUCUUGAAACAUCAGUUCACCACAACCUGGAAAAUAGUCACAAUUAGAUAUUAUACUGUCACUAAUGUGAUGUCAAACCAUGGAAGGUCUAAAACAAGAUUUCCUAAAGUACUCUUGUAUUUUAAUAAUACAUCUUUAGGAGUAGUUAUUUUCCUUUCUUCUGAAGAUUGUAUUAUUAAAAUAUAAAUACUUAUGGAAUUUCCUGUUUCCAUACUACCUCUGGUCUGACACUUGUACUAUAUAUACAUUAAUAAAAGUUCUAAUGAAAAUUUCUAUACUUUAUC